CUGCUCGCUUCAGCAGCACCUAUACUAAAAUUGGAACCACACAGAGAUAAUUAGCAUGGCCUCUGUGCAAGGAUGAGACGCCAAUUCGUGAAGCAUUGCUGGGAGGU